rnacentral:misc_RNA from 1 species
GAUGAAGAACGUAGCGAAAUGCGAUAAGUAAUGCGAAUUGCAGAAUUCAGUGAAUCAUCGAAUCUUUGAACGCACAUUGCGCCCGCCAGUAUUCUGGCGGGCAUGCCUGUCUGAGCGUCGUUUCGACCCUCGCGCCCGGCUUCUGUCGGGGGCGGUGUUGGGGAUCGGCCACACCCUUCAGUGGGAGGCCGGCCCCUAAAUUCAGUGGCGACCACGCUGUAACCUCCCCGGCGUAGUACUAAAACCACCUCGCAGGCGGAGAGCGGUGCGGCCCGCCGUAAAACCCCCCAACUUUUACAAGGUCGACCUCAGAUCAGGUAGGAAUACCCGCUGAACUUAAGCAUAUCAAUAAGCGGAGGA